rnacentral:rRNA from 1 species
GACGUAGGGCGCGAGCGUUGUCCGGAUUUAUUGGGCGUAAAGAGCUCGUAGGCGGCUCGUUGCGUCGGCUGUGAAAACCCGCAGCUCAACUGUGGGCUUGCAGCCGAUACGGGCGGGCUGGGAUUCGGUAGGGGAGACUGGAAUUCCUGGUGUAGCGGUGAAAUGCGCAGAUAUCAGGAGGAACACCGGUGGCGAAGGCGGGACUCUGGGCCGAUACUGACGCUGAGGAGCGAAAGCGUGGGGAGCAAACAGG